AGAAAGACACGUUGGAUCGAUGGAUCAACUCGGAAUUCGUUGUAAUCAAUGACUCGUGAGAUACCUCGAUUUGUAACCGCGGCUCCAGGGACGUAACAAUUUAUCUCAUCGGAAGAUGUCACACGCAAUUGCUAGUGACAGAAACUAUUUCCCGCCACAAAGUCAAGGAGCUCCUUGAAAGGGGAUCCAGGCAGGGGAUCCUAAUGGCAGAAAACGGACCGUAGGAAACCCAUCCAUAAUGGAUCAUCAACGUGGCCUGAUGAAACUCCGGCUAAUUGGAAACAGGACAUGGGAAACGCCUGGCAUGGAAUGCGAUGGGGCAUGUAUCUGGUGAAUGGAUCAGGCCGAAGAUAUAUCCUCUAUCCUGUAGAUGGCAUGGCCUUGCUGGCUGGGACCUGGGGCAGUCAACAGCUUACUGGCCAAAGUUAGGUAUAAAUCCUCACCUCUGGUAUUACGAAAGGUGAGAUAUGAUGCCAUUUUCUUCCAUUUUUCAUCUGUUUUUUGUAAAGGUUUCAAUGCACAGUACCAACCUGCACAGUACCAACCAACUCUUCUGCCCAACUGUAGUGCAUGACUUAAUACAGUGGUCGAAAUACUUAAAUAAAAAAUAUAUAUCAGUGCUCUGCAGUAUUGCAGAAGAGUCAAAAUUUUGUUCUGCAAUUUGGAA